GUCUAUGGCCAUGUUACCCUGGACAAGCCCGAUCCCGUCUGAUCUCGGAAGCUAAGCAGGGUCGGGCCUGGUUAGUACUUGGAUGGGAGACCACCUAGGGAGACCAGGUGCUGUAGGUG
rnacentral:rRNA from 1 species